GACAAGACAUCCAAAGAAUGGGAAUUACUCGCUUUAUUCCAACUGAAACUGCGAUGCUGCUAGGUUAAAGGCAAACUCACCUUAAAAAACGUACUUUGUUGUCGAACAACAAUGUAACCAAAGAUCUAUACGGUCCUCUUUUUAGUACUCUCUCCUGCAUCAAGCACGUAGUUAAUUACAAGCAAAAUCCCAAUGAGCAACCUAUUUACACAUUAUCAUUCAAGUA